rnacentral:sRNA from 1 species
CUUUAAUUAGUUUGUAAAUCAAUAUAAUUAUCAUUUAUCAAUAUAAAGAUGACCAUUUAAAUUUCUGAUGUAUUCUUUUUUCAUAAAACACAAUUAGAAUAUUAUCCAUAAUGUCAUCCCUUCAUUCUAACUGUAAUUGGCUUUGUAAAAAGAUGGAGUGAGUAAUGAAAGGGUUGCCUGCAAAUAUUUGUACUAAAAUAGGAGCCUAUAACUCUUUAGAUGUUAUAUCUUCAUGUCCAUCUCUUGACCUAUGUAUUCACUGCCAGAACAAAAUUUAGCUUCAGAUUUCUUUAGUUUAUUCAUGUCAACAUGAGUUGUUUGGCUGAGUGGCACCCCUAGUCUAGAGUUUGCAUGCUCCCUCUUCCCACAAGUCCACAAAUCAGAUUUGACCAGAGUACACUGAGCAUGCUGUAUAAUGCAAGAUGCAAAUUUCAGCCUUUAUUUUUAAUCUUGAGAAAGAACAUUUAUUAGAUGCAUUUCAGUUUUUUUUUUUAAUAAUGCAGCUUAGUGCUUUUCCUCAUUUUAGAAUGUGUGGACUGAUAAUUUGUUGUUGCAUUUUGUCUUCAUAAGUCAAUGACACAAGAGACUCUGGAUGACAAAUAUAUUGUUAUGACUCUACAUUGCGCUCUGUCAUUAUGUGCGAGACUGUGCACCAUGAGACACGGGGCAGAGACACGAUAGGAUAGAGGAAGUCAAAGAUGGCCUAUGAUUAGAGAAGUUAUGAAAACAAGGACGCUUGUGAUUAGUUUGGAUUUAGAUCUAGUUUCUUAUUGUUGAUUAAAUGUUCUAUUUUAUAAUCCUUUUGUUGAGGUUUUUUGGCUAAGUUACAGCAAUAAUCUACUCAGUACAAUAGCACUUUUCCAUGUGGUUUGUGUAAGUGGAAGCAGAUAAAAUUGUUCCUCUAUUUGCUGUACAAUUUUUCAAAAUUCAUAAGCAGCUGAGAAAAAAAA